UACGUAGGGCGCAAGCGUUGUCCGGAAUUAUUGGGCGUAAAGAGCUCGUAGGCGGCUUGUCACGUCGGAUGUGAAAGCCCGGGGCUUAACUCCGGGUCUGCAUUCGAUACGGGCUGGCUAGAGUGUGGUAGGGGAGAUCGGAAUUCCUGGUGUAGCGGUGAAAUGCGCAGAUAUCAGGAGGAACACCCGUGGCGAAGGCGGCUCUCUGGGACGGUACUGACGCUGAGACGCGAAAGCGUGGGGAGCGAACAGG
rnacentral:rRNA from 1 species